GUGGUACGAGAGACGAUGUAGAAGUCUGACGGAGCACGCCGCGUGAGUGAUGAAGGCUUUCGGGUCGUAAAACUCUGUUGUUAGGGAAGAACAAGUGCUAGUUGAAUAAGCUGGCACCUUGACGGUACCUAACCAGAAAGCCACGGCUAACUACGUGCCAGCAGCCGCGGUAAUACGUAGGUGGCAAGCGUUAUCCGGAAUUAUUGGGCGUAAAGCGCGCGCAGGUGGUUUCUUAAGUCUGAUGUGAAAGCCCACGGCUCAACCGUGGAGGGUCAUUGGAAACUGGGAGACUUGAGUGCAGAAGAGGAAAGUGGAAUUCCAUGUGUAGCGGUGAAAUGCGUAGAGAUAUGGAGGAACACCAGUGGCGAAGGCGACUUUCUGGUCUGUAACUGACACUGAGGCGCGAAAGCGUGGGGAGCAAACAGGAUUAGAUACCCCGGUAGUCA
rnacentral:rRNA from 2 species